ensembl:lncRNA
CUCCACUGCUCUUCACAUCACAUCUCUCCCAGGCUGUCAUGCCUCCAGGACUGAUGGAGAAAAAUGCAAAGGUCAGAGCUGUACAGACAUUGAAGCCAGCCUGAAGAAAAAGCAGAUUUGGAGGUCUGUGAAGCCAAACCUGAUGCUGGGGAUUUAUUUUUGUCAGUGGAGUCAAAUGCCGACAGGUAUUGAAGACACGUUUUCUAAGAGGAUGAAAGUUGGCAUUGCGAUGGUGAAAGAAGAAGACAUCAUCGAUGUGUUGGUUGUCCUUGAGGCGGCAGUAAUCCUGUCUAAUCUGAG